AUACAAAGCUUAAGAUCAAAAACCUGAAAAGCUGUUAUCUGUCUUAUGAUGCCGAAGAGAUAGUGACCUUUGAUGAUAAUGAGGAUGACAUUGAGGAACACAGUUCCGACAAAGAAACUGAAGAAUCUCCCACUUCAUCUGUCCUCGGAAAGAUGUUUGAUCUGACAGAGCUGAAUAAUGGACGCUACAAUAUAAUCUAUAGCCACCCAGAGACAUUACACACAAAGACUAUUCAGAAUAUUUUUCAUUCAUCUGUGUAACAACAGAGAGUGUGUGCAGUUGCUAUUGAUGGGGUUCAUAUGAUUUCAGAAUGGGGAAGUGAAUUUCUACCAGCAUUCCGAAAUUAGGUGAACUUACGGUGAUAUUCCCUAAUGCUUGCCACUUGGCAUCAACAGCCACAUGUACCGAACAGAGAAAGAAUGAAUUGACAGACACUUUGCAAUAUAGGAAAUACACCUGUGUGUCUAUUAAUCCGGACAGACCCAAUAUUUAUAUAAGUAAAAGGUCAAGAUUACCAAAUAUAAAAAAAUUGAUAAGUGUGACUCAUUGAUUGAGCCAGUGGCAGUGGAGCUAACUGAUAAAU